GUGCUCACUUCAGCAGUACAUAUGCUACAACUGGAAUGAUAGAUUAGCAUGGCCCCUGUGCAAGGUGACAUGCAAAUUUGUGGUGUUCUAUAUUAAA
rnacentral:snRNA from 1 species